rnacentral:rRNA from 1 species
UACGUAGGGUGCGAGCGUUAAUCGGAAUUACUGGGCGUAAAGCGUGCGCAGGCGGUUCGUUAAGUCAGCUGUGAAAGCCCCGGGCUUAACCUGGGAAUGGCGGUUGAAACUGGCGAACUUGAAUCUGGCAGAGGGGGGUGGAAUUCCACGUGUAGCAGGUGAAAUGCGUAGAGAUGUGGAGGAACACCGAUGGCGAAGGCAGCCCCCUGGGCUGAGAUUGACGCUCAGGCACGAAAGCGUGGGGAGCAAACAGG